GUGGGGAAUCUUGCGCAAUGGGCGAAAGCCUGACGCAGCCAUGCCGCGUGAAUGAUGAAGGUCUUAGGAUUGUAAAAUUCUUUCACCGGGGACGAUAAUGACGGUACCCGGAGAAGAAGCCCCGGCUAACUUCGUGCCAGCAGCCGCGGUAAUACGAAGGGGGCUAGCGUUGCUCGGAAUUACUGGGCGUAAAGGGCGCGUAGGCGGACAGUUUAGUCAGAGGUGAAAGCCCAGGGCUCAACCUUGGAAUUGCCUUUGAUACUGGCUGUCUUGAGUACGGGAGAGAUGAGUGGAACUCCGAGUGUAGAGGUGAAAUUCGUAGAUAUUCGGAAGAACACCAGUGGCGAAGGCGACUCACUGGCCCGUUACUGACGCUGAGGCGCGAAAGCGUGGGGAGCAAACAGGAUUAGAUACCCGGGUAGUCC
rnacentral:rRNA from 1 species